AACGAACGCUGGCGGCAUGCCUAACACAUGCAAGUCGAACGAGACCUUCGGGUCUAGUGGCGCACGGGUGCGUAACGCGGGGUAACCUGCCCUUAGGUUCGGAAUAACUCCCCGAAAGGGGUGCUAAUACCGGAUAAUGUCUUCGGACCAAAGAGUUAUCGCCUUUGGAUGGGCCCUCGUUGGAUUAGCUAGUUGGUAGGGUAAAAGCCUACCAAGGCGACGAUCCAUAGCUGGUCUGAGAGGAUGAUCAGCCACACUGGGACUGAGACACGGCCCAGACUCCUACGGGAGGCAGCAGUGGGGAAUAUUGGACAAUGGGCGAAAGCCUGAUACAGCAAUGCCGCGUGAGUGAUGAAGGCCUUAGGGUUGUAAAGCUCUUUUACCCGGGAUGAUAAUGACAGUAACGGGAGAAUAAGCUCCGGCUAACUCCGUG
rnacentral:rRNA from 1 species